GAGUAGCUCCCAGGAAUGAUCAUGAACCAUCCUUCUUGUCCUGUAUCCUAGAGCCUUGCCCAUUCAAGUUGCCUGCUGGAAAGAGAUUGAUUUUCAUUAACUGUGGAAGACGAGAAAAGAUUCUGUAUUGUUUCCAGCCCGGGAGUUCAGGUGACAGGAUCACUCAGUAUUAAGGACUUGGGAACGGAGACCUGUUAGAAAUGUGUCUUGGGCUUCCCUGGUGGCGCGGUGGUUAAGAAUCUGCCUGCGAAGGCAGGGGACACGGGUUUGAGCCCUGGUCUGGGAAGUUCCCACAUGCCACAGAGCAACUAAGCCCGUGUGCCACAACUGCUGAGCCUGCGCUCUAGAGCCCGCACGCCACAACUACUGAAGCUCGCACACCGCAACGAAGAGUAGCCCCCGCUUGCUGCAACUAAAGAAAGCCUGCGCACAGCAAUGAAGACCCAACACAGCCAUUAAUUAAUUAAUUAAUU